UUUCGAGUUAUGUAGGCAUGUUUAUAAGGUUAUUUACAGUGAUGUACACCUGGUGGAAUAAUUAUCUGCAGUGGAAACAAUAAUUUUAUUGGCGUUACUGAGCGGAGCGGUUAUAGUAAUACAGUAACGUGAAGGAAAGUUUAGAACACUCAUUGGAUUCCAUCCACGUAACAGCUACCAUAGAGACGAUUCGCUGUGGCAUCAAACAAAGAAAUAUUCAUUGUAAACCAGUCGGUGUGAACUGGGGUCGUCGCGCGCAGCGGAGUUGAGAAUGAGAUGAGAUGAAAAAAGUUGGGUAUAUAAUUAAAAGAGGGAUAGGUUUAUAUUAACAAGUCAUUAGUACACCAGAUGUAACCAUAUAAAUGUGAAUGUUAUAUUUGCAAAAAUAUGUAAACAGUGACUGAUUGAAAGGUAAAUUAAUGAUAAUUAUACGUCCAAAUAUGUAUGUAUAUGAGUAGGCACGGAAAGAGAAUCGGAUUAGAAUUAGCCCCCGGGUUACUGCAUAUUUCCGACGUUUUUACUACAUCCCUUACAUUUUAAAAAUAGCAAACAUAUUAAAUGUGCUGAAUAGCUUUUGUUAAUAUUUCGACAGUAUAAUUUGAGUUUGAAUAUAUUUAAUUGAAAAGUAUAAAAAUUCGUCCAUACGAGAAUAAAAAGUUAAAAAAUGUGUAAGCCCGCCUCUGUGUAUAGUAUUCUUGGUCUCAAGUUCAAAUAACGCAUCAUUAAUUGUAGUAGUUUAUCAGAUAUGACUUAAUUAAUAUCAAUAAGUUAUGUGCGUUAGUGAAAAACGGUGACGGGUUUUACUUUACUGUAAGAAUACGCUCGAAUUGAAAUGUAAAAUCUCAGGUCAAUCGAUCGACCACUUUUCCAGUAAUCCAAGCGAGAACACACGGAAGCCGAAUUUUUAUAUGUAUAAAUUGAUUUACAGUUAUAUACAUUUUUUCUAACGUAAUGUUUGCAAA